AUUUAGCUAACGAGUCCCAAAUAUGACGAAACGCGCGUCCUGGAU
rnacentral:hammerhead_ribozyme from 1 species